GAGAACAUAGCUCUGUGUGGUAGAGCAUUCGACUGCAGAUCGAGACAUCUCCGUUUCAAACCCGGGUGUCCCCUUCUUCA